rnacentral:sRNA from 1 species
GGGGGCGAACAUGGUUUCGACGGGGAUCAUGGAGGCCGGAUAAGCGAGCCGAAGCCCCGUGCUUCGUUAAAAACGGGAACAGUUUUAAAGUAACUGACAACAACAAUACUUUAGCAGUCGCGGCGUAACAACGCCAGCGUCCGUCCGCCCGCAAAAACUUACCGUUGCGGAUCCGGGCGUCAUUCAGGGUAGGGAACGAACCCGCCUAAGCUUUGCGGCGGGCCGGAUUGAUGAAGCUACCGGAACGCGGAUCCCGUCGCUGGGAGCCGCGGAAAGGGAAUUUUAAAACGGCGACUACGCUCGUAGAAAGUUCUGUUGACAGGUUUUCGGACGGGAGUUCGACUCUCCCCGCCUCCACCA